GUGCUCGCUCUCGUGCACCUGUACGUGCAAAAGACUGAACGUCAUUCAAGACCCCGAUAUACUCACGGUGGUGUUUAUUUUCGUUCUUUGCUUAUAAGAAAAGAAGUUGGAAAUACCUUCGCAGCGAUAUAGGCCUACUGUUACCGAACAUCCCAUGCUGCUGUGAGCGACGUUUAGAUGAAUAUGUAAAUAUGUGCUGCGCGCUUUACUCUCAGUGACAAAAUAAACACAAAACAACAAAAAAUGACAGAGAAAACAGCAGUUAAGAAAGCAGAUAUGUUUGCACCAGCUCUGCAAUUCACCGCCAUCAUGUCGACAGAGUGACAACAGAGUGGCUGUGUUGAUGGAAGAGGUAUGAACCAGAGGCCUACUGCAUGAAGCCAGUUUCAGUAGCUACCCAGCUCGAGGCACACCAAGCUGAUGUCAAAGAACUAGAUGCAAUGGAAGCUGAAUGUGUUGUCGCCUCUCGUCGGCUGCGUCUCGGCCAAAAAGCUGUGCUUGAACACACCAAAAGGACUACAAGUGACUGUCUACUAGCACGUGUGUUCUGCGCCUACAUGUAAGUAAAUAUCUGUUUAUAUCAUCAGGUAUCAAUAGUCUAUUUUUAUAAAACUAGGACAAAAAAACAAAACUAGGAUUGCAGAUAUACAAAAUCGUAAACAAAGCAGCACU